AGCUCUAAUAGCGUAUAUUAAAGUUGUUGCAGUUAAAAAGCUCGUAGUCGGAUGUCGGGCUCGGGGAGGCUGUCGGCCUUUGGUCGGACGGCAUGUCCGGGCCUUUCUGCCUGGGGAUCCUAUUCUACUUAACUGUAGGGUAGUGGGACGCAGGCCGUUUACUUUGAAAAAAUUAGAGUGUUCAAAGCAGGCCUACGCUUGAAUACAUUAGCAUGGAAUAAUGGAAUAGGACUUUGGUCUUAUUUGUUGGUUUAUGGGACCGAAGUAAUGAUUAACAGGGACAGUUGGGGCCGUUUAUAUUUCGUUGUCAGAGGUGAAAUUCUUGGAUUUACGAAAGAUAAACUUCUGCGAAAGCAUUCGGCAAGGAUGUUUUCA
rnacentral:rRNA from 1 species